rnacentral:rRNA from 1 species
AACGAACGCUGGCGGCGCGCCUAAUACAUGCAAGUCGAGCGAGAAGGUGUAGCAAUACACUUGUAAAGCGGCGAACGGGUGAGGAAUACAUGGGUAAUCUACCAUCGAGUGGGGAAUAACCAGCCGAAAGGUUGGCUAAUACCGCGUACGCCUCCGAAUCUUCGGGUUCGGAGGGAAAGCCACACUGUGAGUGCGGCGCUCUUUGAUGAGCUCAUGUCCUAUCAGCUUGUUGGUAGGGUAACGGCCUACCAAGGCUUUGACGGGUAGCUGGUCUGAGAGGACGAUCAGCCACACUGGCACUGCGACACGGGCCAGACUCCUACGGGAGGCAGCAGUAAGGAAUAUUGCGCAAUGGGCGAAAGCCUGACGCAGCGACGCCG